rnacentral:rRNA from 1 species
AAAUUGAAGAGUUUGAUCAUGGCUCAGAUUGAACGCUGGCGGCAGGCCUAACACAUGCAAGUCGAACGGUAACAGGAAGCAGCUUGCUGCUUUGCUGACGAGUGGCGGACGGGUGAGUAAUGUCUGGGAAACUGCCUGAUGGAGGGGGAUAACUACUGGAAACGGUGGCUAAUACCGCAUAAUGUCGCAAGACCAAAGAGGGGGACCUUCGGGCCUCUUGCCAUCAGAUGUGCCCAGAUGGGAUUAGCUUGUUGGUGAGGUAACGGCUCACCAAGGCGACGAUCCCUAGCUGGUCUGAGAGGAUGACCAGCCACACUGGAACUGAGACACGGUCCAGACUCCUACGGGAGGCAGCAGUGGGGAAUAUUGCACAAUGGGCGCAAGCCUGAUGCAGCCAUGCCGCGUGUAUGAAGAAGGCCUUCGGGUUGUAAAGUACUUUCAGCGGGGAGGAAGGUGUUGUGGUUAAUAACCGCAGCAAUUGACGUUACCCGCAGAAGAAGCACCGGCUAACUCCGUGCCAGCAGCCGCGGUAAUACGGAGGGUGCAAGCGUUAAUCGGAAUUACUGGGCGUAAAGCGCACGCAGGCGGUCUGUCAAGUCGGAUGUGAAAUCCCCGGGCUCAACCUGGGAACUGCAUUCGAAACUGGCAGGCUUGAGUCUUGUAGAGGGGGGUAGAAUUCCAGGUGUAGCGGUGAAAUGCGUAGAGAUCUGGAGGAAUACCGGUGGCGAAGGCGGCCCCCUGGACAAAGACUGACGCUCAGGUGCGAAAGCGUGGGGAGCAAACAGGAUUAGAUACCCUGGUAGUCCACGCCGUAAACGAUGUCUACUUGGAGGUUGUGCCCUUGAGGCGUGGCUUCCGGAGCUAACGCGUUAAGUAGACCGCCUGGGGAGUACGGCCGCAAGGUUAAAACUCAAAUGAAUUGACGGGGGCCCGCACAAGCGGUGGAGCAUGUGGUUUAAUUCGAUGCAACGCGAAGAACCUUACCUGGUCUUGACAUCCACGGAAGAAUUCAGAGAUGGAUUUGUGCCUUCGGGAACCGUGAGACAGGUGCUGCAUGGCUGUCGUCAGCUCGUGUUGUGAAAUGUUGGGUUAAGUCCCGCAACGAGCGCAACCCUUAUCCUUUGUUGCCAGCGGUCCGGCCGGGAACUCAAAGGAGACUGACAGUGAUAAACUGGAGGAAGGUGGGGAUGACGUCAAGUCAUCAUGGCCCUUACGACCAGGGCUACACACGUGCUACAAUGGCGCAUACAAAGAGAAGCGACCUCGCGAGAGCAAGCGGACCUCAUAAAGUGCGUCGUAGUCCGGAUUGGAGUCUGCAACUCGACUCCAUGAAGUCGGAAUCGCUAGUAAUCGUGGAUCAGAAUGCCACGGUGAAUACGUUCCCGGGCCUUGUACACACCGCCCGUCACACCAUGGGAGUGGGUUGCAAAAGAAGUAGGUAGCUUAACCUUCGGGAGGGCGCUUACCACUUUGUGAUUCAUGACUGGGGUGAAGUCGUAACAAGGUAACCGUAGGGGAACCUGCGGUUGGAUCACCUCCUUA